rnacentral:rRNA from 1 species
GACGAACGCUGGCGGCGUGCUUAACACAUGCAAGUCGAACGGAAAGGCCCUGCUUUUGUGGGGUUCUCGAGUGGCGAACGGGUGUGUAACACGUGAGUAACCUGCCCUUGACUUUGGGAUAACUUCAGGAAACUGGGGCUAAUACCGGAUAGGAGCUCCUGCUGCAUGGUGGUGGUUGGAAAGUUUCGGCGGUUGGGGAUGGACUCGCGGCUUAUCAGCUUGUUGGUGGGGUAGUGGCUUACCAAGGCUUUGACGGGUAGCCGGCCUGAGAGGGUGACCGGCAACAUUGGGACUGAGAUACGGCCCAGCCUCCUACGGGAGGCAGCAGUGGGGAAUAUUGAACAAUGGGCGGAAGCCUGAUGAAGCAACGCCGCGUGCGGGAUGACGGCCUUCGGGUUGUAAACCGCUUUCGCCUGUGACGAAGCGUGAGUGACGGUAAUGGGUAAAGAAGCACCGGCUAACUACGUG